GGCAGAGGGGGCAGGCGUUGCUCGGAAUUACUGGACGUAAAGGGCGCGUAGGCGGCCUUGUAAGUCUCGUGUGAAAGCCCUCGGCUUAACUGAGGAUCUGCACGGGAUACUGCGAGGCUUGAGUUCGGGAGAGGAAAGCGGAAUUCCGGGUGUAGCGGUGAAAUGCGUAGAUAUCCGGAGGAACACCAGUGGCGAAGGCGGCUUCCUGGACCGACACUGACGCUGAGGCGCGAAAGCUAGGGGAGCAAACGGG
rnacentral:rRNA from 1 species